UAUUGGACAAUGGGCGAAAGCCUGAUCCAGCAAUACCGCGUGUGUGAAGAAGGCCUUAGGGUUGUAAAGCACUUUCAAUUGGGAGGAAAACCUGCCGGUCAAUACCCGGUAGCUUGACAUUACCUUUAGAAGAAGCACCGGCUAACUCCGUGCCAGCAGCCGCGGUAAUACGGAGGGUGCGAGCGUUAAUCGGAAUUACUGGGCGUAAAGCGUGCGUAGGCGGUUCGUUAAGUCAGAUGUGAAAGCCCUGGGCUCAACCUGGGAACUGCAUUUGAAACUGGCGGACUAGAGUUUAGUAGAGGGGAGUGGAAUUUCAGGUGUAGCGGUGAAAUGCGUAGAUAUCUGAAGGAACACCAGUGGCGAAGGCGACUCCCUGGACUAGAACUGACGCUGAGACGAAA
rnacentral:rRNA from 1 species